rfam:Candida tropicalis MYA-3404 mitochondrial scaffold supercont3.24, whole genome shotgun sequence.
GUGACUGUGAUGGAAUUGGUAGACAUAAUACAUUUAAGCUGUAUAGGUAGUAUCCGUGUGGGUUCAAGUCCCGCCAGUCAUA